ACGCUUCAAAUCAUUUCCCGAAGAAAAUAGCUUCAUUCACAUGACUAAGUGAAGAUGAAGUAAACAUAAAAUCUCAAAACUGAUCUUGUGAUAAUAGCAACAUUCCACUGUAAGAAUUUUUAUUGGCUGUUCUACUCAUAUUGUGGAUUCAGUGUUGCUACAGUGAAUCUCUUUGACACAAACAAGAUGGCUGAUGAUCUCUCUAUGACUGAUGAGCCCAAGACUGGCGAGGAUGGCACGAUCGAGUUCAAGGAAGACAAAGAGGUGACGAAGGCUCGUCAUGACAUCUUCAUUCAGGAGAUUGAGGCGAUGGACGACUACUGGGGCUCGACGUUCCGCACCAUUUACACCAAGGAGGAGCAGGAACAGUUCAUGCAGGAGCUCGACGAGCGUACGCGCGAGCACGACAAGAACAUCGAGCGCAUGUGCAACUUCCACUACCAGGGCUUCAUCGACUCGAUCCGUGAGCUGCUGCAGGUGCGCACCGAGGCUAGCAAGCUGAAGCGCGAGGUGGUCGGCGUCAACCAGGAGCUGACGGACGCCUCCCGGCAGCUGCUCAGGCACGGAGACGCGCUUUGCAAGGCGCGCCGCGUCCAGUCCAACAUCCACGAGGGCAUCGAGGCGCUCAAGGCCUGCCUGCCCGUGCUGGAGACGCACGCCCGACUGAAGAAACAGAUGGCGGAGAAGCGCUUCUACCCAGCGCUGAAGACGCUGGAGACCCUGGAGAGCACGAUGCUGCCGAAAGUGUCGGGCCACAAGUUCGCGCAGGUGAUCGCUGCAUCUGUGCCGAAAGCUCGCGCUAACAUCCAGGCGGCAGCCAUGUCCGACCUGAAGGAUUUCCUGGAGGUGGUGCGCCGCGAGUCUCCGCGUAUUGGCGAGGUGGCCAUCCGGCACGCGGACGAGCAGUAUGGCACCGACCCGGCGGCAGAAGAGCGCGCCGCCAACAAGCGGCACACGCUGGCCUUCCUCGGCGAGGAGCCGCUGGCGCCGGAGACACUGUACCAGACCGAGGGCGAUGAGGACGAGCGGGUGGCCCAGGAGCUGGUCAACUUCUCGCCUGUCUACCGCUGUCAGCACAUCUUCACCGCGCUGGGUGCCAAGGACACGUUCCGCGCCUACUACGUGAAGCAGCGACAGAAGCAGGCGGGCCUGGCGCUGCAGCCGCCGGCGGGUAUGCACGACACGCUGACUGCGCUGCAUGACUACCUGCACGGCGUGGCCGGCUUCUUCGUGGUGGAGGACCACAUCCUGAACACGACCACGGAUCUAGUGACGCGCACAGAGCUGGACCAGCUGUGGGCGAGUGCUCUGGCCAAGCUGACGACGGCGCUGCAGUCUCACGCUGCCUGCCUCACGGACGCCAACACGCUGCUCACCUUCAAACAGCUGGUGAUGGUGUUUAGCCACGCACUGCGCAACUAUGGCUUCUCGGUGCAGCCGCUGCACGACCUGCUGCUGGAGGUGCGCGACCACUACAGCGAGGUGCUGAUGCAGCGCUGGGUGGCCGUCUUCCGCGACAUCUUCGACAAGGACAACUACCACCAGGUGCAGGUGGACACGACGCGCGAGUACGAGCAGAUCCUGCAGGUGUUCCCCUACUCGAGCGAGGCGCUGGAGAAGGCGCCGCUGCCGCGCCGCUUCCCCUUCUCGCUGAUGGUGCCGAAGGUGUACUCGCAGGUGAAGGAGUUCAUCCACUCGUGCCUGCGCUUCUCCGACGGUCUGAACCUGAGUCAGAGCGAGCGGGACGACAUGCUGCGCCGCUCGACUAAUGUGUUGCUUACGCGCACACUGGCUGGAUGUCUGACUACCCUGGUGCGCCGGCCCGGCCUGAGCCUGCUGCAGCUCAUCCAGGUGACCAUCAACACGAUAUACCUGGAGCAGGCCAGCGUCUACCUGGAAGACGUCAUCACCGAGCUGACCGGCUACAACCCGAAGCAGGAGGGCGGCGUCCACUCGCGCCUCCAGGGCCGCUCCAUGUUCAAAGACGUGCGCGCGGAGACCGAGCAGCAGAUCUACAUGCAGCUGCAGACGAAGAUUGACGAGUUCCUGAGUCUGGCGGCCUACGAUUGGCUGCUGGCGGAGUCGGACGGCACGGCGUCGCCCUAUCUGGUGGACCUCAUCUACUUCCUCAACAGCACGUUCACGGCGUUCACCAACCUGCCGGCCAAGGUGGCUCAGACGGCGUGUAUGAGCGCGUGCCAGCACAUCGCGCGGGGUCUGCUGGCCGUACUGCUGGGGGAGGAGGUGAAGCAGCUCUCCCUGGGCGCGCUGCAGCAGCUCAACCUGGACGUCAUACAGUGCGAGCCCCGGGUCGGAGUUGGCUGAGCGACCUGUCCUCGGGCCUGAGCGACCUGUCCUCCGGCCGGUGACGGUCAUUGGAUCCCUGUGCCGGUAUGGGAGAGCAGAUGAACGCCGGAAAUACCUGAAUAUUGGCCUACUCAAUCAAUUGGUAUCUGCUAACAAGGGAUGCAAGAAGAUGCUGCAUGAGAUAACCAACAUGAGAUUGGGCCUUAGCUACCUUCCAGGUGCAGAGAAAGCAACUUGCAUCACUUUCCAGGAGAGCGUGCCGGGUCCGCGGAGCUCGCUGGAGGUGCGGUCAUCUUCUGCACGUGGGACUCCACCGGACGGCGGUGUGGGCGCCCUCUGACAACAGGCAUCCCCUGCAGACUUCGAUGGCGGAGAGAACCACUGGGAAAAUGGUACUCUCGGCCUCAGUCAGCAUUCAUCGCGUCGUCUUUGGCUCAACCGUCACCGCAGCUUACUCGACUGAACAAAGAACAAGAGAGCACGGCGCAUCGCGG
rnacentral:misc_RNA from 1 species